rnacentral:rRNA from 1 species
GAUGAACGCUAGCUACAGGCUUAACACAUGCAAGUCGAGGGGAAACGACAUCGAAAGCUUGCUUUUGAUGGGCGUCGACCGGCGCACGGGUGAGUAACGCGUAUCCAACCUGCCCAUCACUUGGGAAUAACCUUGCGAAAGUAAGACUAAUACCCAAUGACAUCCCACGAAGACAUCUGAAUGGGAUUAAAGAUUUAUCGGUGAUGGAUGGGGAUGCGUCUGAUUAGCUUGUUGGCGGGGUAACGGCCCACCAAGGCAACGAUCAGUAGGGGUUCUGAGAGGAAGGUCCCCCACAUUGGAACUGAGACACGGUCCAAACUCCUACGGGAGGCAGCAGUGAGGAAUAUUGGGCAAUGGGCGAGAGCCUGAACCAGCCAAGUAGCGUGCAGGAUGACGGCCCUAUGGGUUGUAAACUACUUUUAUAAGGGAAUAAAGUGGGUCUCGUGAGACUUUUUGCAUGUACCUUAUGAAUAAGGACCGGCUAAUUCCGUG